UGAAAUAGAAUAUCCAUCUGCAUGCAAUGUCCAUGAACUCUGCUUCUGCUGAAGAACUGCAACGGCUUUGUCGGACUCCUCAGCUUCUUUUUAACUAUUAUUAGCUUCAGAAAAUAAUUGUCCGACCACAAUGUCAACCGACCUUGGAAAUGUUUACCGAAGUGUUCGGAUUUCCAGGAGUGCGGCUUAUAAAUCUACUUUGCUGACGAGUCUUUCGCUGCGGCGAGAACACUCAGAGCAGAGUGCCUUUUUUGUAUUCUCGGGUGAAUAUCCUCCUGUGUUGCUCUUUUGUCUGCCUGCGCCAUAGUCCCGAGAACCCCUAGGAUGAGGUACCUUCUUCGGAUGCUUAGGAAUAUGGGUGCAUUUUUUGUGCUGAAUCUGAACCUGAC
rnacentral:lncRNA from 1 species